GUUUUCGAGGUGUAGUGUAGUUAUCACAUCCGCCUAACACGCGGAAGGUCCCGUUCGAAUUUUGCCCGGGCGAGAAACA